AUUGAACGCUGGCGGCAGGCCUAACACAUGCAAGUCGAGCGGUAGAGAGGUGCUUGCAUCUCUUGAGAGCGGCGGACGGGUGAGUAAUGCCUAGGAAUCUGCCUAGUGGUGGGGGAUAACGUUCGGAAACGGACGCUAAUACCGCAUACGUCCUACGGGAGAAAGCGGGGGGAUCUUCGGACCUCGCGCCAUUAGAUGAGCCUAGGUCGGAUUAGCUAGUUGGUGAGGUAAUGGCUCACCAAGGCGACGAUCCGUAACUGGUCUGAGAGGAUGAUCAGUCACACUGGAACUGAGACACGGUCCAGACUCCUACGGGAGGCAGCAGUGGGGAAUAUUGGACAAUGGGCGAAAGCCUGAUCCAGCCAUGCCGCGUGUGUGAAGAAGGUCUUCGGAUUGUAAAGCACUUUAAGUUGGGAGGAAGGGUAGUAACCUAAUACGUUGCUACUUUGACGUUACCGACAGAAUAAGCACCGGCUAACUUCGUGCCAGCACG
rnacentral:rRNA from 1 species